rnacentral:rRNA from 1 species
AUGAAAGAUGAUGGUGCUAAGGAUGAUCAAGAGGCAGUGGAGCAAGGUGUCAUUGUUGAACAAGAGGUCGCACCCAUGGAUGAUGCCAUUGCUGUUGAUGAUGAUGAUCAGGAGAAGAAGCCACUGGAGCAAUCUAGUACCACUUAUGGUGACUUGGGAACAACCAUGGAGAAUGCUGCUGCUCUUGUGCAAGUUCAAGAGCAAGUGGUGGAGCAGCUAGAUGCCACCCAGCCAAGGGAUGAAGAUAUUGCUGCUGAGGGACAAGAGACACUGGGAGAUCAUCAGCCGGGAUCAACUGAGAAUGCUGAUGAUGCUGUGCAAGUUCAAGAGGAAGGUGAAACCGCAGAUGCCACUGCUGUAGAUGACCAUGACAAGGCAGUGGAGCAAUGCACCACUUACGAUGACUUGGGAACAACCAUGGAGAAUGAUGUUGCUAAGGAUGAUCAGGAGGUGCUGGAGCAAGGUGUCAUUGACCAAGGGGAUGAUGCAAGUACCAUAGAUGAUGAUAAUGCUGUCAAAGAUCUUGAGGUGCUGCUGCUAGGUGCCGUGGAAGGAACGCGCGCUACCACAGAUGGCAUUGCUGCUGUCGAGGAUCAAGGGAAGAAUGUGGAGCAAUGUGCCGCUUAUUAUGACCUGGGAACAACCAUGAAGAAUGAUGAUGCUUCUGUUGAAGAACAAGAGGUGGUGGAGGAAGGCGUUGUCGAUUUAACCAUGGAUGAUGAUGAUUCUGUCAAAGAUCACAAGCAGCAAGGUAUCAUUGACGGAACCGAUGACAUUGCUGUUGAGAAACAAGAGAAAGUGCUGGAGCAAUGUUCAAGAGCAACUAAGGGUGAGUACACUGUCAAAGAAAAGGAGAUGGUGGUGGAGCAAGGUGUCGUCGACCCAAAGUACAUGGAUCUUGCCACGGAAGAUCAGGUUAAGUUGUCGAUCAUAGACGACCAGGGUACAGUGCCCAUGGAUAAUAUUGUGGUGAAAGACCAGGAUAAGGCAGUGGUGCAAUAUGCCAGUGAUGCAAUAGUAACAAUCAAGGAUGAGAGUCCUGUGGAGGAACAUGAUACAGUGGGGAAUCAAGGUGUCAUCGACAAAAAUGGCAGAACCAAGGAUGAUAUUGAUGUAGAGGGACAUGGCUAUGUGAAUGAACAGGUCAUCGUCGAUAACUGGGGUACAUCCAGUGAUGCUACUGCUUUGGAAGGUCAGAAGAACGAGGCUGAGCCACGCAUGGGUGAUGAACAGAUAGCAGGCAAGGACAUGGAUGGUGUUCAUGCUGAGGGGAACAUGUUGGAGCAAAGGACCAGCGAUAAACAGGGAGCAACACAGUCUGAUUUCACUGUUGAUAAGCACAAGGAUAUAGCGGAGCGUGUCCGCCAUGAGUGGGGUGCACCUGAGGAUGAUCUUGCUAUGGACAGGACAGCUUACCAAGGUACCGGAGAUUGGGGUAUAGUUAACAAGGAGAAGGUGCUGCCUGAGGAUGAUCGUGCUAUGGACAUGGCAGCUUAUCAAGGUACCGGAGAUUGGGGUAUAGUUAGCAAGGAGAAGUAUACGUUGCCUGCUAGAAGAUAUCCACAGAAGCCCAGAAAACUUAACUGCCCCUCUUACAUGUCAAAAGGGACCUGCACAUACGGGCCCUCAUGCCACUUCAAUCACCCACCGCAGCUUAAAUCUAGAUCAGAUGAAUCAUGGCGUCCCUCUGAACGAAGAAACCAUGGCGCUGCAGAAAUUCUGGAACUGAACCGCCUUGGCCUUCCCAUUCGUGAAGGAGCAAGAAACUGUGACUACUAUAUGCGAACUGGUGCUUGCAGAUAUGGCAAAAACUGCCAUUUUAACCAUCCAGACCAUGUCAUUGAUGCUCAGUUUAGUCCACCAACAGGGUGGGAGGAUAAUGCUUUGCAAAUGGAGAAAUCUUCUGAUCAUACAUUAGAUGAGACAUCACGCAUGAAGAAAUCUUCCGAUGAUGCGACCUUCGAUGACAGAUCACACAUGAAGAAAUCUUCCGAUGAUGCGACCUUAGAUGACAGAUCACACUUGAAGAAACCUUCCGAUGGUGCGAUCGUAGAUGACACGUCAUACUCAAAGAAGUCUUCUGACCAUGACAACUCAUCUAGCUCUGGUGUCCUGCCACCAAGCAUAUUUAGAAUGCUUCUACCUCCCCAAAAAGUACUGCCUGGUACGGAAGGAAAGGCGAAAAAGAAGUCAGACUGGUCAUCAGACGAUUCCGAUGGUUGCUGUUCAGCAGAUAGUUCAGAUGGACCUUUGUGCAAGCAGGGGGAGCACGUGGAUUACCCUGAGAGGCCUGGCAGACCAGAAUAUCACCACCCAAAACAGUCAAAAUACAAAGAAGAGGUGAACUAUCCCGAGAGGCCUGGCAAACCAGAUUGCCCCUUCUACAUGAGAUUUGGUGAUUGUAAAUUUGCAUCAGCGUGCAACUAUCACCACCCAAAAGACAAAUACCCAGCUGGGAGACCUGAUGAACCAGAAUGCCCAUUCCUUAUGAAGCGUGGGUACUGUAAACUUAGGGCACAAUGUAAGUUUUAUCACCCAGAGGCUUCGAGCCCAACAGAUGCAAAAAGAUCUGUUACCACUGAUGAACAUCAUCCAUCUACAAGAAUCACAUUACAAGACUAUAUGCUUCCCCAGCAACCGCAGUAUCCUGAGAGGCCUGGUCAGCCAGAGUGCCGGUACUACUUGCAGUUUGGGAAAUGCAAAUAUCUGUCUGCAUGUAUAUUUCACCAUCCAAAAGAUAGACUUGCAGCUCACUCUGAUCAGAUUGGACCUGGCAUGCCAGAUUGUCCUUUCUAUAUGAAAGCUGGGAAAUGUCAAUUUGGAUCAGCAUGUGAAUUUCGUCAUCCCAAAGAUAUACAUUCAAGUUCAACUGCAGAGGAAGCAUUUGAUAAGAGAAGUGGGUCGGGGGUGUAUGAUAGUUUGACAAGGUCAGAUAAUGGCGUGGAGCAACAAGAAGAGAGCAUCAUGUAUCCUGAAAGGCCAGGUGAACCCGAGUGUAACCACUACAUGAGGCAGGGGUACUGUAAGUUCCAGAUGAACUGCAAGUACCAUCAUCCAGGAGACCGGCUGUCUAAGAAACAGUAUUGA